rnacentral:rRNA from 1 species
GACGAACGCUGGCGGCGUGCUUAACACAUGCAAGUCGAACGGAAAGGCCCUGCUUUGGUGGGGUGCUCGAGUGGCGAACGGGUGAGUAACACGUGAGUAACCUGCCCUUGACUUUGGGAUAACUUCAGGAAACUGGGGCUAAUACCGGAUAGGAGCUCCUGCUGCAUGGUGGGGGUUGGAAAGUUUCGGCGGUUGGGGAUGGACUCGCGGCUUAUCAGCUUGUUGGUGGGGGAGGGGCUUACCAAGGCAUUGACGGGUAGCCGGCCUGAGAGGGUGACCGGCCACAUUGGGACUGCGGUACGGCGCAGACUCCUACGGGAGGCAGCGGUGGGGAAUAUUGCCCAAUGGGCGGGAGCCUGAUGCAGCAACGCCGCGUGCGGGAUGACGGCCUUCGGGUUGUAAACCGCUUUCGCCUGUGACCAAGCGUGAGUGACGGUAAUGGGUAAAGAAGCACCGGCUAACUACGUG